rnacentral:misc_RNA from 1 species
UCCGACUUCCGUGCUUGUUUCUCCUAAAAGUCAAAUAAAUGUGCCAUCUUUUACAUCGCCAGUGUAUGCUACUAAGUCUAAUGUCAUCACCGUAAUUCAUCAUCAGCAGUAGAAUGAUUCACAGACUGCAAACGUGGACUUGAUUUUCAAGAAACACAUUUUUGGACGUUUUGAUUGAGACAGUAUUUCCUGAUUUCAUGUGCCUAUAUAACCGAAGCUUACAUCAAGCAUGGCGAGCGCAAUGAACUCUUCAGCUCAGGAUGAGCAUUAUGAUUACAUUUGGAAAGUUGUUCUGGUGGGAGACAGUGGAGUGGGGAAGACGAACCUACUGUCCCGGUUCACGAGGAACGAGUUCAACGCGGAGAGCAAGAGUACAAUAGGAGUGGAGUUUGCCACGAGGAAUGUGACCAUCAAAGGGAAGACCAUCCGUGCCCAAAUCUGGGACACUGCCGGACAGGAGCGAUAUAGAGCCAUCACGAGUGUGUACUACCGGGGAGCCGUUGGGGCGCUGGUCCUGUAUGACAUCACGAAGCCCCAGUCCUUCCAGAAUCUGGACAAGUGGCUGCAGGAGUUGAAGGAUCACGCCGACCCCACGGCCUGCAUCAUGCUGGUCGGCAACAAGACGGACCUCCGACACUUGCGAGCUGUCACCAUGGAGGAAGGCAGGACAGUGGCAGAAAGGAAUGGUUAUUCCUUCAUAGAAACUUCUGCGCUAGAUUCUACCAAUGUAGGAGAGGCAUUUAAUAAUCUUAUUGUUGAUAUUUUCAAGAUGCAAGUGGAAGAGCUUGCCAACGCUGGUAACUCGACGGCCAACUCCCCCAAGCCUGAUAAUCAGAGGUUAAGCGCAACAGAUGAUGAACAGCAACAGCAGGCUUGUGGAUGCUAGCUUCUCUCUCUUCCACAAGCAGGGACUGGUCUCAGACCAUACAGGGUUGUCUCCCCCUACAUGCUUCAUUCGUCACCAGGGGGAGUAUUGGCUGAACUUUCACAUGUCUUGUCUUAAGGUUAACCUGGCUUCCAUGUUCAAAUUGCAGUGUUGAUGUCUUGGACAGACUCGAUCAGUGUCAGGGAAUGGUCUUCCUUUGGAUGGGGUAUGUUGGGAGGGUUCACGAAACGGGGAGAGAGAUGGUGAGGCCCAGGUCUAUCACCAAGCCUAUUGUAAGCCUCUGGGACAAACACAGGAAAUACACAUUUGAGCAUCACUAUUUAAUGGAUUUUUACUAUUAGAAAAUUGAAACAUUUGUAUUAGUAUUAUCCAAUUAAACAUUGAGCAUGUUAUUACUUUUCUAUAAAGUUUUAUUAAAAGGGUUGUGAAAACAAAAGGAUAAAUAGCUGAUAAAAACAUAACAUAAAUUAAAAACAUUACAUACAUUUUAUAUGGUUUGUCUCCCACACAGAAAACACAGCCAGCUUAUCGAAGCUUUUAAGUUCGGUAUUGGGUAUCAUUUGACAAAUAAUUACCUGUGUUGGAAAUUGUUGAUAGAAUAACCCCAUCUUAUGAUUGGCUGUUCCUUAAAAUUUCUGAAAAGUUGAAGUGACCUGCGAGUCCAAUAUGCCAUUUCUCAUGGUUAUAUUCUCGACGAUGAAUAUUGACCUUGUGACAAUGUCAUGUGUAUGUUCAACUCAAGAUGGCCACCUGUAUGAGUCUGAUUUGCACGUCUGAUUGAUGAUAUCUGCAUGGCCGAUGUACAAUUUCUUAUGGUUAAGUCCUUGACCUUCAUUCGACCUUGAGAAGUCAAGGUCAUGUGUACAUGAAGUUGUCCUCCUGUAUGACUACCUGUGUGAGUCUGAUUUGCACAACCGAUGUACAAUUUGUUAAAUUCUCGACCUUGAGUCAAGGUCAUGUGUAUGUGAAGCUCGAAGAUGGCCGUCUGUAUGAGUCUGACUGACAACAGUCCUUGCAUCCUAUUCCUUCCAGUCCGUGGGCUAUAUUUCUUUGUUAUAUCCCUCACUUUCAUAUUACACAGAACAGGGGGCGCGUGUUGUGUACAUUUCAACUUUUAUUGUAUUGUUGCAAAUUGUGGCGUUAUGAUUUAGGACAACACUUUUGUUUUUGUGUUUCACCUAUCUUAAGAAUAGCUAAUUAUAAAAAAAUAAUCACUUCUUUAUAUCGAGGAAGGUGCAGAGGCAAUAAUGUGUUUUCGUGAAGGGGAUGUAACUCUUUGUUUUCUUAUCCCAAUGUCUUUCUGAGACUCAGAAGCAAUGACACGAUAAUUUGGGCGGCAGUUAUCAGAGACAGGAAAAUAUACAAAUUUCUCUCUCAGGCCACAACAAAUUUAUGAUGUUCUUUUAUCAGACUUUUUGGUUGCUGUUGACUUUGCUUCAUUUAAAAAAAAGUUUUAACUACAAUUAAUAAAUUUAUUUAGAAAUGAAAUUUCUCAUGGUUGAUCUGUUAAACAUUUUUUUAUUCCAAAACUAUGUUUAACACUUAUUAUGGCUUAGGUUUUCAAACAGUUUGAAUGAGAGUCUUGUUUAGGAAUAUACUUUUGAAGAUUUUUUCUGAAAUAUGGCAAUACUUAUAAAUAAAACAAAAAUGACUUAAUUUUUUAAAAUUUGUUUAAGACUUUGCUGUGGCCUUAUGGGGAGGUAGGGGUAGUGUUAUUCUGAGUAGGUGAAAGAAUACUGAAAACUAGGAGAGGAAUAUUGAGAUGCCCAUUUCUUUUUUAUGACAUUUUUCAGACAAAUCAGAUUACCUAGUUACUUGUUUUGCAUUUUUUUUCCUAAAAUUACCUGACUUCAGGAAGAAAAAGAAAUAAGAAUGAAAAUCUCUUUUUUAUGAUGUGAAAACUCUGUGAUGAAAUUGAUUACUGCAAUGUGCCUAUUACCUUAUUUUCUUGUGAAUAGUACACACCUACCUUUCAGGGAUUCAUUUUUUCAGGGGGCGGUGGGGUAGCCUAUUGGUUAAAGCAUUCACUCAUCACCCUAAAGUCCUGGGUUCAAUUUCCCUCAUGGGUCUAGUGUGUGAAGCCCUUUUUUUUAGAGUCCCCCGCCGUUAUAUUGCUGGAAUAUUGUUAAAUGCAGCAUAAAACCAUACUAACUCACUAACUUACUUAUUUUAGGUAGAUACUAUUCGGGAAAAUUUGAUAUGGUGAAGUGUUGCUGCAGCAGACUAACAGUCCAAAUGUCAAUAGAACUAUUAAAAUAAAAAGACCCAACUACCGGGUAUCUACAGUUACCAGGAGGGUGUUUCAAACAAGUAACUACUGUGCCCUAAUGAACAGUAAUGUACUGGUAUAAAGUUGAUUGAUACUGGUUCAAAUUAUAGGACAUGAAAAAGUUUUUUUCUACUUUUGAAUUAACUAUUUUGCUGUUCUGAAAGCUGUGUGGGUUGAAUGUUCAUCCUGGAAUAUAUUAUAAUGUUACAAGUAUUUUGCUUUAAAUCAGUUUGCUUUGGAUUAUGUUUGAGGUGGUUGUAGGUCAUCAAAGCAUGAAGUAGUUUGUCAUACCUGUUAUCAUGCCUCUUAUGAUAUCAAUGACCUCUUGAUGCAGAGGUCUGGGAAUAGAAAUAUUUCAUUUUCUUGACUUUAUCUGAUUAAAAUAAUAUUUCUUAAUGCCACAAAAUUAAUUAUUAGAUUUUCAUUUUUAAACAAAGAAAUGUGACAGGAGGCAUGUAUUUUCUUUAUAUUUUAUUUUCCCCUGUCAAUGGUUGUGCUUGAAGCAGAGUUUGGACUAAGUAUUUGGUGUAUUUCACUUGUUAAAGAAAGAAGGCCACACAAUGAUUUUCUUUGUUCGUAGGUAUUGUUUGUUGUUAUAUGCCACACUCAGCAAUAUUCCAGCUAUAUGACGGCGGUCUGUAAAUAAUAGAGUCUGGAGCAGACAAUCCAGUCAUUGACAUCAUGAGCAUCGAUCCAUGUGAUUGGGAUAUUAUGACAUGCUUCAACUAAGUCAGCGAGCCUGACCAUCCGAUCCCGUAAGUCGUCUUGUGUGACAGCAUGGGUUGCUGAAGACCAAUUCUAUUCUGGAUCCUCACAGAGGUAACAGGUACUAGGGUACAGUAGGACGAUGUUAGGCAGAUGUUUUCUCAUCUUCCCGAGGCAAGAGAAUUAACUGACAAUAAAAGUCCAGUUUCCACCCUUGCCGAACUAGGCUGGUAUUAUGGAGUUACAUUUUGGCUGGACUAACGAGUCUAUGCAUAGUCCAAUCACAAUCACACAACGAAAUCGAAAUCCGGUUCGUAAACUGUCGUGCAGCCACUGGUGGCGCUCCGUAGAGCCCAGACAUUCUUGCCUAGUUAGGCGAGGGUGGAAACUGGAGUUUUGUAGUCAGUUAACGGCCUUGCCUCGGGAAGAUAAUGUUUUCCAGGUGGAGGGGAAAAUCUAAUGAUUUAUUCUGAGACUUGAUAUGUUGAUGGUUUUCAUUUCUUAAACAUUUGCCUUAUGUAGUAUCAACUGGUUGUAGAUGUUUUUCCAUUUAUUUUAGUCAUAGAUGUUUUUUUGCAAGGUUUUUCUUACUAUAAUGGUGCAUAUUUUGUAAAUAACAAUUUUUAAUUCUUAUUAGUACCAGUUUUAGAUAAAAAAUAAUGUCCUUGUCACCAGCAAUAGAUAGUUUAUGUGAUGAAAAAUACUUAUACUCAGUUCCUGUAUUUGUCAGCGUAAACCUGACUAAUUUUGCAAUCUUGAUUUUGGGGAAACGCUGUCACAUAUCGGUUAACAAAUUAAUUACAUUUAACCAUAUUUAGUCUGAAUUUCACACGUUUCAGUGUGGAUAAGGUGUUUGAUAGUUGAAAUGUUAUAAGAUGACAGAAAGAGUACUUGCGUAUUUGAAAUGUUGUUAUGGCAAAUAAUCUAUUGCUUGUUAUAUAAUAGCAUAACAUAUGGUAUGAUUGCCAUCUCCACUAUACAGCGAAUGUACAUUUUCUUGCUUUGAUGUGAAUGGAAGUUUAUGGAAAUGAAAUGAUGCUUGACAGGAUGUGAAGGUAUUGUCCGAGUAGUUUCAUGACUUGGGUUAAUUUUGUAUAGCUAUUUCAACUACCGUAUUUGACAAGGCAAAUGCCUGUGUCCAUAUAAACCCCAAGGCCAAGGUAUGGCCCACUGGAAACAUCCGAUUUUUGAAAUAUUGUCUGACAAAUAACUGAUUUUCAUGAGCAAUUACAUAAAUAUUGAGAGAGAAAGCUGAUUUUUCAAACUUUAAGAGUAAAUCUUAUAAUCAAGUCCGUUACCCAAGGAAAAGAUUUUUGGACUUACUCAUGGUCAAAAAUAAAAAACACGCUUCCUGAAACCUCAGAAAUCGGCUGUUUGAACGUAUUUUGUCAUAGUCUAUAUUCACGGCAGUACCCCCUGCUGGUGUGGGGGGAGAGGUGGCCCAGUUGUCUAAAGCACAGCAAUUCAUUGUGCAGUGUUGCAUGCCAGAAACCUUGGAUUGUGAGUUGGAAUCCUGUUUAUCCUGAUUAUGUUUCUCAGUGUGUCAGUACAUACACGUGUUUAUGACACUCAGCCAUGGGGUAAACAUCCAAGGCCUAUAUCCCUUCAGGCGAGGACCCGUCGUGAUAUAACUGGAAUACUGUUUAUCCUGAUUAUGUUUCUCAGUUUGUCAGCACAUACACGUGUUUAUGACACUCACCCAUGGGGUAAACAUCCAAGGCCUAUAUCCCUUCAGGCGAGGACCCGUCGUGAUAUAACUGGAAUACUGUUUAUCCUGAUUAUGUUUCUCAGUUUGUCAGCACAUACACGUGUUUAUGACACUCACCCAUGGGGUAAACAUCCAAGACCUAUAUCCCUUCAGG